rnacentral:rRNA from 1 species
UACAGAGGGGGCAAGCGUUGUCCGGAAUUACUGGGCGUACAGCGCGCGCAGGCGGGCCGUGACGUGCCGUGUGACAGCGGUCGGCUUAACCGGCCGAGGCCACGGUAGACGCACGACCUGGAGGCAGGGAGAGGGAUGUGGAAUGCCCGGUGGAGCGGUGAAAUGCGUAGAGAUCGGGCGGAACACCAGUGGCGAAGGCGGCUCGCUGGGCCGGUCCUGACACUGAGGCGCGAAAGCUAGGGGAGCAAACGGG